rnacentral:lncRNA from 1 species
GAGUCCUGGGGAAGGGCAGCAAGGAAAGGAACAUCUGGUAGGCGGCCGAGGUAGCUCUCCCUGAUGGAUCACUUCUCCGCCCCCUGGGACAGUAUUACGGUAAACCUCAGUAGGAGCCCGGAGGUUCCCCCCCCCCCCACCAGAGCCCUGGAAACAGAAAGCAUCCCUGCUGUGGGAAGGCAGUGAGCAGGCCUGGAGAGCCUCUCUAGCUGGAGAGACCUCAAAGUCUUUACGAAACGUCUUUCUCUUUUAUUUGAUCUUAUGUUAUUUUAUUAAAAAAAGUAAAGUAUUUAUCUAUUUGGAGAGAGAGAGAGCACAAGCGGCUGAGGGGUGGAGAGGAGGAGACACAGAAUCCCAAGCAGGCUCCACGCCAUCAACGCAGAGCCCGAUGCAGGGCUCGAACUCGCAAACUCGCGACCUGAGCCGAGAUCAGGAGUCAGAGGCGUAAUUGACUGCACCGCCCAGGUGUGCCCCGAAACUUCUUACUCUUUUGAACUCUGUCCAGGGAGUGGGGAAAGGUGUUUUUAUCUCUUAUCUGACCCCAUUGUCACCCUGAUGCUCAGGACUGAGGACAAUCUCUAAGGUCUACAGACAGAUGGACAUACGUUUGUUUAUUCAUUCAACAAACAUUCAUCGAGGGCCCACUGAAUGCCAGGCAUUGUGCUGCCUAAAUUCCAGCCACGCCAGUCGCCCAAAGGCAACCACGGGUGGUCACACCUCCCCGACGGAACAUCGGCCCCUUCGGGCAGGGACCCCCCCGUCCUCACUGCUGUGUCACUGUGCCUGGCAACGGUCGACACCUGGGUCAGGGCCCAGAGAGGCAGAGUCUGAGGCGAGAGCCGCGCUGAUGGACUCGCUUGCCUGAGACCCGAGCCCCUACCGACCUGCAAGGCCGCAGAGCUGAUAGAAGCAUUUCGACGACACCUGGAUCGAAGGCCACCUCGCCCCCAAGUGGCCUCCGCCUUCCGCCCGGCGACGCCCUCCCCCGUCAACACUAGGGGCUUCAGACUGACUUCCCCUCCAGUCCUGGCCGUCGGGUCCUCGCCAGCCACGAGCUCACUCUCAAGGAGAGAGGACCCCUCGCAUUCCUGGGCCACUGCUCUAUUCCCUUACGUCAGCCCAUGGAAACAUCUAUCUCAACACACCCUCGCCGCCUUAUCUUGCUCGGGUCCCGGGCCACGGCGGUAUUUGUCCAAAUUAGAGUCCGUUUGCUUUGCAAACCACACUCGAGCUCUCCUAGACACUGAGCAGCUGCUCCCUUCGCGUCCCCACCGGGGCCCUUGUUUGCACUGUGUGUUGUUGGCAAACAGACCGCCCCGAACGAGCCACUGAAGGGUACUUCCCGGCCCCGGGACCAAAGCAGCAGGCGCACGGAAGGCUUUGCUGGCUUCUCCUUAUCAGACGGCUACCUUGGUGCAGCAUUUCAAAAGCAGAUACCGAGAAAUCAAGCAUUCACGCAAAAGCGUCCCAAAACACCUCCACACGGUGCAAAGCACAGUCAUAUAAGUGCAGGUGGGAGGCACCCGGCCCGUGUUCCAGAAGCCCUUCCCUCUCUUUCUGGGUAAAGAGUCUCCACAGCCAGGCUGCCCGUAUUCGUAUCCCGGGGACCCCUGAGAGCGACCUGAUGUCUCUGCGGCUCAGUUUCCUCACCUGUAAAAUGGGGCUAAGAAUCUUGUCGGGAAGACUAUAUAAGCCAAAAUGUUAAGGUGCUCAGGACAGAGUCUCGCACACGAUAAAUUCUCACUAGAUACUUAAUCUAGUUGUCUUUCCGCG